rfam:Roseivivax isoporae LMG 25204 contig19, whole genome shotgun sequence.
GGUAACGUCGCCGUGUUCGACACCUUCAUCCGAAGGACAUCAGGGAAGCCGGUCCGAUGCCGGCGCUGCCCCCGCAACUGUAGGCGAAGAGCCGUUCCCGAAACGCCACUGGCCCCCUCCCGGGGCUGGGAAGGCCGGGGCCGGCGGUGACGCGCGAGCCAGGACAUCUGACCGUCGGACGGACAGUGAAACC